AGUGAACGCUGGCGGUAGGCCUAACACAUGCAAGUCGAACGGCAGCACAGUAAGCGCUUGCUCUUACGGGUGGCGAGUGGCGGACGGGUGAGGAAUACAUCGGAAUCUACUUUUUCGUGGGGGAUAACGUAGGGAAACUUACGCUAAUACCGCAUACGACCUACGGGUGAAAGCAGGGGAUCUUCAGACCUUGCGCGAUUGAAUGAGCCGAUGUCGGAUUAGCUAGUUGGCGGGGUAAAGGCCCACCAAGGCGACGAUCCGUAGCUGGUCUGAGAGGAUGAUCAGCCACACUGGAACUGAGACACGGUCCAGACUCCUACGGGAGGCAGCAGUGGGGAAUAUUGGACAAUGGGCGCAAGCCUGAUCCAGCCAUACCGCGUGGGUGAAGAAGGCCUUCGGGUUGUAAAGCCCUUUUGUUGGGAAAGAAAAGCAGCAGGUUAAUACCCCGCUGUUCUGACGGUACCCAAAGAAUAAGCACCGGCUAACUUCGUG
rnacentral:rRNA from 1 species